rnacentral:lncRNA from 1 species
AUUUAAAGAAAAAAAAAAAAACUGAUUAAUUGAAGACCUGAACCGGGUCUGGCCCUGCAAAUCAGCCCCAUCGCAAAACCACCAUCUCCGGUGAACCACAACCACCGCCGCCACUGCGUCAAUCAGACAACAGUUUCUACUUUUGUAAAGGUAUGUUACCUGUAUUAGAUGUCGUUGCAGGGGAUAUGAUAUUUGGCCAUCCAGAGAUUCUCAAUCUAAAAAGUGAAAGGCAACAACAUUUCUCGUAGAUGUAUUAUCUUUCGGUAGUUGUUAAUGGUGAGAUGCUGAAGGGAUGUGAGGUGUUGGAGUCCAACCGAAAGUGAUUCCAGUUUAUCAAAUUUCAAGUCGAAGCACUGUAAGAGUGGAAGGAAGAAGAAGGGACAAUUGACUAAAAUUACUGAGAUGUUCGGAACAUUACGUCAGGUGAACAAGGGAAGUUGGAAAAUUUUAAGGGCUCCGCUCUAACAAAGGCUUAUUCAACCCCCCUAUUAAUUGGUAACCAAAACUGGGAGGCCAACGCCCACAAGGAAAGAAAUCCUCUGUUCUUGGGACACUUUUCUAUUUUUUAAAUAAUUUAACAAGGUGAGCUUUGUCUGAAUGGUUGGAAAAGAAAUCAUCAUACAGAGUUAUUUUUUUGACACUGGCUUCUAUUAUGCUAUUUAAUGUUUUAUCUUGAAUACACAUCUGUUGGAUAAUCUUCACAUGACGGGUCGACUAGUGAGAAACUUGUGAAUAAACAUAUAAUGAGCUACAAAGUUCAAGAUGGUGCUGCAGAAUAUAAAGCGUGCAUCAUGCUCCUUUUUACAUUGAGCUCGAAAAUGCAGCAGUAUGGUCCUUUUCAAAAAUAUUGUUUUGUGCUGCUCAUUGUCUUGUAAAUGUUCUUGUAAGUCUUUGUAACAUGAUAUGGUUAUACAAUAAUAAGAUUUUAUGAUUUUGUGGUUGUU